UACUAUGGAAAGCAACUGGAAUGGGAGCUUAUAACAUUUCUUUGGGCCCGACGUUUUUGACACGCGCGGCUUGGAGUGGCCCGCCAUAAUCUGAGCUCCCUCGCUUUCCCGCGCCCCACACCCCGCCCGUAACCAUGAAGCGGAUCGCCGAAGCCUACCAUGCCAGCGACGGCAAGUCCACACUCACCGUCAUUGGCUCCGAAAUCGCGAAACGUCGGGCUGUUGGGCUGGUGGAUAGGAUCACCCACAUCUCCUUCACCCUGGACGACGGCAUGGCCCGGAUUGACAUAAAUACAUGGAUAAAUGAAGUCUCAGAUGCGAAUGGAAGUGGCUACCAUCUAGUAAGCGUUGUUGAUUGGUGCAUUUAAUUGAUUGGUUGCCGAUAUCUACUUUCUUGAUCGUGUUUUGAUGGAUUUGCACUGUUUGGGUUUUCUUUGAGCAAUAAUAUUAAAGAGAUGAGUCAAUGCUCAUUUGAAGGGUUUCAGGGUAAAAGACAUGCCUUCUUUGUCAGUGAGUGCACAUAUAUACAUGUCAAAAUGCUGGAGCGAAGGCACUUGCAUGUAGAGAGGUGCUUUAUAUGUCGUGCACAUAAGAGGUACAGAAAGGAGUUCCAGCUGAAAUCCAGACAAAUCCAAUCAUGGGAACCACUUUUUCUAAUGGAGUGAAAAGAUAUCAUACUCUUCGUACCAAUCAAGAAUUUUUUGGACGGUUGUCAUGCAAAAACAACACGGCACCGAAAACGUUAUUAAAAGGAAUUCUUGGUGAAGCUAAAGCAGACAUUGCGUGGAUGUUUCCGUUUCUCGGGAAGAAAAGAAGAGGGCAGAAGUGUGCCACCGGAUGA